CCACUUUCUCGGCUAACUCCAACAUCUUAUCCUUCUGCUCCUGCGUAAAUUUUGUGCGGAACCUCUUCUUUGACAACACAUAAGGCGGAGGCGGGGGCACUCCGUCGGCGUUAGAUUGGAACACGUUAAGAUCCUCGCUUGAAGACUCGUUCCCACCGCCACCGCCGCUUCCGAACGCCAUGUUAUUCAUCGAUGCAACUAUUGCACUGGACGGACUUGUAUGAAUUGAAUACUUAUGAUGAGGAUGCAGCAUGGUUGGGGAUGGCAACGGAGGAGGCAACUGAAGUGGGUUAAGCAUCAAAGUUCUACUGGGAUUAGCCCCGAAUUGAGUCUCCCCAUCAACCUCCUUGCGAUGAAAGUUGCGAUGGCAGUCACAGGCAGCACAUUUCAAGGCCUCGAGUGUUCCUUCUUCCCCACUAGGCAUGAAC
rnacentral:lncRNA from 1 species